rnacentral:rRNA from 1 species
UGCAGGCGGUUCGGUAAGUUGGAUGUGAAAGCUCCCGGCUCAACUGGGAGAGGCCGUUCAAUACUGCCGGGCUAGAGGACGGUAGAGGGAGGUGGAAUUCCCGGUGUAGUGGUGAAAUACGUAGAUAUCGGGAGGAACACCAGUGGCGAAAGCGGCCUCCUAGGCCGUUCCUGACGCUAAGACGCGAAAGCAUGGGUAGCGAAC